rnacentral:rRNA from 1 species
GACAGAGGGUGCAAACGUUGUUCGGAAUUACUGGGCGUAAAGCGCGUGUAGGCGGCUACGCAAGUCGGAUGUGAAAUCCCGUGGCUCAACCACGGAAGUGCACCCGAAACUGCGCAGCUUGAGUCUCGGAGAGGAAGGUGGAAUGCUUGGUGUAGAGGUGAAAUUUGUAGAUAUCAAGCGGAACACCGGUGGCGAAGGCGGCCUUCUGGACGAUGACUGACGCUGAGACGCGAAAGCGUGGGGAGCAAGCAGG